rnacentral:rRNA from 1 species
GGUCAAGUGAAGAAGCGCAUACGGUGGAUGCCUUGGCAGUCAGAGGCGAUGAAAGACGUGGUAGCCUGCGAAAAGCUUCGGGGAGUCGGCAAACAGACUUUGAUCCGGAGAUCUCUGAAUGGGGGAACCCACCUAGGAUAACCUAGGUAUCUUGUACUGAAUCCAUAGGUGCAAGAGGCGAACCAGGGGAACUGAAACAUCUAAGUACCCUGAGGAAAAGAAAUCAACCGAGAUUCCCUUAGUAGUGGCGAGCGAACGGGGAUUAGCCCUUAAGCUUCAUUGAUUUUAGCGGAACGCUCUGGAAAGUGCGGCCAUAGUGGGUGAUAGCCCCGUACGCGAAAGGAUCUUUGAAGUGAAAUCGAGUAGGACGGAGCACGAGAAACUUUGUCUGAACAUGGGGGGACCAUCCUCCAAGGCUAAAUACUACUGACUGACCGAUAGUGAACCAGUACCGUGAGGGAAAGGCGAAAAGAACCCCGGAGAGGGGAGUGAAAUAGAACCUGAAACCGUAUGCGUACAAGCAGUGGGAGCCUACUUGUUAGGUGACUGCGUACCUUUUGUAUAAUGGGUCAGCGACUUAUAUUCAGUGGCAAGCUUAACCGUAUAGGGUAGGCGUAGCGAAAGCGAGUCUUAAUAGGGCGUUUAGUCGCUGGGUAUAGACCCGAAACCGGGCGAUCUAUCCAUGAGCAGGUUGAAGGUUAGGUAACACUGACUGGAGGACCGAACCCACUCCCGUUGAAAAGGUAGGGGAUGACUUGUGGAUCGGAGUGAAAGGCUAAUCAAGCUCGGAGAUAGCUGGUUCUCCUCGAAAGCUAUUUAGGUAGCGCCUCAUGUAUCACUCUGGGGGGUAGAGCACUGUUUCGGCUAGGGGGUCAUCCCGACUUACCAAACCGAUGCAAACUCCGAAUACCCAGAAGUGCCGAGCAUGGGAGACACACGGCGGGUGCUAACGUCCGUCGUGAAAAGGGAAACAACCCAGACCGCCAGCUAAGGUCCCAAAGUUGUGGUUAAGUGGUAAACGAUGUGGGAAGGCUUAGACAGCUAGGAGGUUGGCUUAGAAGCAGCCACCCUUUAAAGAAAGCGUAAUAGCUCACUAGUCGAGUCGGCCUGCGCGGAAGAUGUAACGGGGCUCAAACCACACACCGAAGCUGCGGGUGUCACGUANNNNNNNNNNNNNNNNNNNNNNNNNNNNNNNNNNNNNNNNNNNNNNNNNNNNNNNNNNNNNNNNNNNNNNNNNNNNNNNNNNNNNNNNNNNNNNNCGUAAGUGACGCGGUAGAGGAGCGUUCUGUAAGCCUGUGAAGGUGAGUUGAGAAGCUUGCUGGAGGUAUCAGAAGUGCGAAUGCUGACAUGAGUAACGACAAUGGGUGUGAAAAACACCCACGCCGAAAGACCAAGGGUUCCUGCGCAACGUUAAUCGACGCAGGGUUAGUCGGUUCCUAAGGCGAGGCUGAAAAGCGUAGUCGAUGGGAAACAGGUUAAUAUUCCUGUACUUCUGGUUACUGCGAUGGAGGGACGGAGAAGGCUAGGCCAGCUUGGCGUUGGUUGUCCAAGUUUAAGGUGGUAGGCUGAAAUCUUAGGUAAAUCCGGGGUUUCAAGGCCGAGAGCUGAUGACGAGUCGUCUUUUAGAUGACGAAGUGGUUGAUGCCAUGCUUCCAAGAAAAGCUUCUAAGCUUCAGGUAACCAGGAACCGUACCCCAAACCGACACAGGUGGUCGGGUAGAGAAUACCAAGGCGCUUGAGAGAACUCGGGUGAAGGAACUAGGCAAAAUGGCACCGUAACUUCGGGAGAAGGUGCGCCGGCUAGGGUGAAGGAUUUACUCCGUAAGCUCUGGCUGGUCGAAGAUACCAGGCCGCUGCGACUGUUUAUUAAAAACACAGCACUCUGCAAACACGAAAGUGGACGUAUAGGGUGUGACGCCUGCCCGGUGCCGGAAGGUUAAUUGAUGGGGUUAGCGCAAGCGAAGCUCUUGAUCGAAGCCCCGGUAAACGGCGGCCGUAACUAUAACGGUCCUAAGGUAGCGAAAUUCCUUGUCGGGUAAGUUCCGACCUGCACGAAUGGCGUAACGAUGGCGGCGCUGUCUCCACCCGAGACUCAGUGAAAUUGAAAUCGCUGUGAAGAUGCAGUGUAUCCGCGGCUAGACGGAAAGACCCCGUGAACCUUUACUGUAGCUUUGCACUGGACUUUGAGCCUGCUUGUGUAGGAUAGGUGGGAGGCUUUGAAGCGUGGACGCCAGUUCGCGUGGAGCCAUCCUUGAAAUACCACCCUGGCAUGCUUGAGGUUCUAACUCUGGUCCGUGAUCCGGAUCGAGGACAGUGUAUGGUGGGCAGUUUGACUGGGGCGGUCUCCUCCUAAAGAGUAACGGAGGAGUACGAAGGUGCGCUCAGACCGGUCGGAAAUCGGUCGCAGAGUAUAAAGGCAAAAGCGCGCUUGACUGCGAGACAGACACGUCGAGCAGGUACGAAAGUAGGUCUUAGUGAUCCGGUGGUUCUGUAUGGAAGGGCCAUCGCUCAACGGAUAAAAGGUACUCCGGGGAUAACAGGCUGAUACCGCCCAAGAGUUCAUAUCGACGGCGGUGUUUGGCACCUCGAUGUCGGCUCAUCACAUCCUGGGGCUGAAGCCGGUCCCAAGGGUAUGGCUGUUCGCCAUUUAAAGUGGUACGCGAGCUGGGUUUAGAACGUCGUGAGACAGUUCGGUCCCUAUCUGCCGUGGACGUUUGAGAUUUGAGAGGGGCUGCUCCUAGUACGAGAGGACCGGAGUGGACGAACCUCUGGUGUUCCGGUUGUCACGCCAGUGGCAUUGCCGGGUAGCUAUGUUCGGAAAAGAUAACCGCUGAAAGCAUCUAAGCGGGAAACUUGCCUCAAGAUGAGAUCUCACUGGGAACUUGAUUCCCCUGAAGGGCCGUCGAAGACUACGACGUUGAUAGGCUGGGUGUGUAAGCGUUGUGAGGCGUUGAGCUAACCAGUACUAAUUGCCCGUGAGGCUUGACCAU